GAUCAUGGCUCAGAACGAACGCUGGCGGCAUGCCUAACACAUGCAAGUCGAACGAGACCUUCGGGUCUAGUGGCGCACGGGUGCGUAACGCGUGGGAACCUGCCUUUAGGUUCGGAAUAACUCAGAGAAAUUUGAGCUAAUACCGGAUGAUGUCUUCGGACCAAAGAUUUAUCGCCUUUAGAUGGGCCCGCGUAAGAUUAGCUAGUUGGUGGGGUAAAGGCCUACCAAGGCGACGAUCUUUAGCUGGUCUGAGAGGAUGAUCAGCCACACUGGGACUGAGACACGGCCCAGACUCCUACGGGAGGCAGCAGUGGGGAAUAUUGGACAAUGGGCGAAAGCCUGAUCCAGCAAUGCCGCGUGAGUGAUGAAGGCCUUAGGGUUGUAAAGCUCUUUUACCCGAGAUGAUAAUGACAGUAUCGGGAGAAUAAGCUCCGGCUAACUCCGUG
rnacentral:rRNA from 1 species